rnacentral:lncRNA from 1 species
AUGUUUCAUAUACAUGAGUACAAUUUCUAUAGUUUUGUAUAUUUUUUAGGUAACCAAUUUGAAGUUAAUGAAUUGUUAUGUAGCCAUAUAUCCAACGCUUCCAAUAGUAGUGUCGAAGCUAAACAAAUCAAUAUUAUUAUGUUACACUAUUAUACUGAUCCUCUAUCUAUUGUUAUUCCCUUUCACUAUGAGUAUUAA